AGUAACCAAAAACCACCGCCUUUGACAUCAAUCCAGCCAUAUGCUGGACCUCAGAAGCAAUAAAUACCGCCAUCAUCGGCUACUGUCGAAGGGAGGAGAUGGGUAGAGCUCAUAGCUUCUCAAUCUCCUAUAGCCUUGGGGGGUGGUGAGAUUGAUAACCACCAACUAAUACUAACUCAAUAACACUGAGUUACCUACAAGUUCACCACCAAACAUGCAAACAUGCAGAGACCCUCCAAGAAGAUGAAGGCCAACUGACAUCAAUGGGUGGUGCCACUCCCAAUAAAGCCAUAACCAUUAUACGGAUCAAAAG
rnacentral:misc_RNA from 1 species